rnacentral:rRNA from 1 species
GACGAACGCUGGCGGCGUGCUUAACACGUGCAAGUCGAACGGAAAGGCCCUGCUUUUGUGGGGUGCUCGAGUGGCGAACGGGUGAGUAACACGUGAGUAACCUGCCCUUGACUUUGGGAUAACUUCAGGAAACUGGGGCUAAUACCGGAUAGGAGCUCCUGCUGCAUGGUGGGGGUUGGAAAGUUUCGGCGGUUGGGGAUGGACUCGCGGCUUAUCAGCUUGUUGGUGGGGUAGUGGCUUACCAAGGCUUUGACGGGUAGCCGGCCUGAGAGGGUGACCGGCCACAUUGGGACUGAGAUACGGCCCAGACUCCUACGGGAGGCAACAGUGGGGAAUAUUGCACAAUGGGCGGAAGCCUGAUGCAGCAACGCCGCGUGCGGGAUGACGGCCUUCGGGUUGUAAACCGCUUUCGCCUGUGACGAAGCGUGAGUGACGGUAAUGGGUAAAGAAGCACCGGCUAACUACGU